rnacentral:rRNA from 1 species
CCUACGGGAGGCAGCAGUGAGGAAUAUUGGUCAAUGGACGGAAGUCUGAACCAGCCAUGCCGCGUGCAGGAAGACGGCUCUAUGAGUUGUAAACUGCUUUUGUACAAGGGUAAACCUGAAUACGUGUAUUCAGCUGAAAGUACUGUACGAAUAAGGAUCGGCUAACUCCGUGCCAGCAGCCGCGGUAAUACGGAGGAUCCAAGCUUUAUCCGGAUUUAUUGGGUUUAAAGGGUGCGUAGGCGGAUUGAUAAGUUAGAGGUGAAAUGUCCGAGCUUAACUCGGGAACUGCCUCUAAUACUGUUGAUCUAGAGAGUAGAUGCGGUAGGCGGAAUGUAUGGUGUAGCGGUGAAAGGCUUAGAGAUCAUACAGAACACCGAUUGCGAAGGCAGCUUACCAAUCUAUAUCUGACGUUGAGGCACGAAAGCGUGGGGAGCAAACAGGAUUAGAUACCCCUGUAGUC